rnacentral:rRNA from 1 species
AUUGAACGCUGGCGGCAUGCCUUACACAUGCAAGUCGAACGGUAACGGGCCUUCGGGUGCCGACGAGUGGCGAACGGGUGAGUAAUACAUCGGAACGUGCCCGAUCGUGGGGGAUAACGAGGCGAAAGCUUUGCUAAUACCGCAUACGAUCUACGGAUGAAAGCAGGGGACCGCAAGGCCUUGCGCGGACGGAGCGGCCGAUGGCAGAUUAGGUAGUUGGUGGGAUAAAAGCUUACCAAGCCGACGAUCUGUAGCUGGUCUGAGAGGAUGAUCAGCCACACUGGGACUGAGACACGGCCCAGACUCCUACGGGAGGCAGCAGUGGGGAAUUUUGGACAAUGGGCGCAAGCCUGAUCCAGCCAUGCCGCGUGCAGGAUGAAGGCCUUCGGAUUGUAAACUGCUUUUGUACGGAACGAAAAGCCUUCUUUUAAUACAGGAGGGUCAUGACGGUACCGUAAGAAUAAGCACCGGCUAACUACGUG